rnacentral:rRNA from 1 species
AAAAACAUGGCCUUUUGAUUAAAAUUUUAGGUCUAGCCUGCUCAAUGAGUUUUAAAUAGCCGCAGUAUCUUAACUGUGCGAAGGUAGCAUAAUCAUUAGUUUCUUAAUUAGAAGCUGGAAUGAAAGGUUGAAUGAGAAAAUAGCUGUCUCUAUAAAAAUUUUAUAGAAUUUUAUUUUUAAGUAAAAAAGCUUAAAUUUUAAUAAAAGACGAGAAGACCCUAUAGAGUUUUAUAUUUGUAUAAAAUACUUCUUUUAGUAAUUUCAAAUUUAUUUUAUUAUAAUAUUUAGUUGGGGUGAUUAGAAAAUUUAAUAAACUUUUCUUUAAUAAAUACAUUUAUUUAUGAAAGUAUGAUCCUUAUUUUUAGAUUAUAAGAUAAAAUUACCUUAGGGAUAACAGCGUAAUUUUUUUUGAGAGUUCUUAUCGAAAGAAAAGAUUGCGACCUCGAUGUUGGAUUAAAAUGAAUUUUUGGUGUAGAAGCUAAAUUAAUUAGGUCUGUUCGACCUUUAAAAUUUUACUUGAUCUGAGUU